AAUUACAAUAGAGUUUAAGUAUGAUAAUGUACAGUAUUGUGGGGAAGCGUUGAGGGGAAACUACUGUAACUUUGGGAGGUGAGGAAUGCUGAUAGAAGUACUAGAAGAUUAAUAGCAGAGGAGUGAAUAGAAGUUACCCAGAUCAAGAGACUUGAGUGGAAUUAACAGGUGCCUAGAUAUAGAGCCAGCUUGAUAAUUUUGGAGAACUGAAAAUAGUGCAGUAUAUCUGGCCCUCUCCUAAAUAGUAGUUCAGGAGAGAAGGAAGAGAUCAGACUGGAGGUAUGAGGGACCAAAAGCAUGAAGGGGCAUAUGAGUUAGUCCAAGGAAACUGGACUUGAAGGAAAAAAAAAAAAAAAGAAAUUGGACUUUACCUUGAGGAAAGUGAGAAGACACAUACAGAGCCAAAACAGAGGAGUCAAAUAAUCACUAUUGUGGUACAAAAUAGGGGACAUCAUAGAAUCGAGGUGUUGUUUUAUUUUAAGGAAAAUAUAAUGAUCUGAAUCAGUGCUGUGUCAUUGGUAAUUGGAGGAAAGUUUAUGUGGAAAAAUCAGGAUUAGAUGAUUAAGUGUAGGCUGGAGAGAAGAAGGGAGCAAGACAGAGAUGAAAAUGUUUAUUAUUUAUGUGCAUUUUAUCUUUAGAAGAUCUUAUAUUACAACAUGUUAAUAUUUGUUUUCUCAUUUUUGUAUAUUAGGAAAAUGUUCUUAAAUGUGAUGAUUUAAGAGAAAAAUGAACUGUUACGGAAAUGAAUAUUGAAGCACAUAUUUAAUGGGAUAUUUUCAAGGAAAUGUAAAAUGAUAAAAUUUUAAAACAAAAUCUGAAGUAAGCUUCACAUUAUAAUGUAAAACAACUUUAAUGUGCCAAUAUAUGCAUGCAACAUUUUUUAAUGUUCUAAAAGACACUAAACUGAAAUUUAUUCUCAGAGAUCCAUGGCUUAGCAAAGUGACACAAAAAAUUCAUAGGAAGUGUUCUUAUAAUUAACUAGAAACUUCCUUGCUUUGAGAAGAUAAUUUGAAAUAUAUGUUUUUAUACUUUGAUAUAAGAUAAUGCAAAAAAGUUCCUGAAUUUAACAACAACCAAAAAUAAAAAACCCUGGAAGAAUUUUUGAUAAGAAUCAUUUCACUUAACACUUAACUUGUUUUUUUUUUCUAUAUAUUGGGUUCCUGUGUGAUUUUUGUAUUAUCCUUUCCUUGGGUGUCCUAGCAUCCUGCAAAUAUUGGUAUACUAGGUUAAGUACUUCUAUGUAUAUAUUAAUACAAACAAUUGUUAUAAUAUCCAUUGUUUUUGGAAAAAGAACAUGUUGUAGCAUACAGCAGCUUUUAAAAUCCUUCUACUAGAGGGAGCACCUAUCAUUUCUGUUCAUAUUUCCUUGAGCAAAGUAAACCCUAAGGCCAAAUAGGGCAAACAAGUGUUAUCCUCAUGUACAUGCAAAAAGUAAAAGAACCAAAUACUUGUGAAGAGCUCAAAUUACUACUCAGAUCUGCCUUUCUGGUUAUGAUUAUAUUAAUAAUACCACUUGAUUUUAUGCUGAAAAUAUAACCUAAGAAAGAUCUACUUCUAAAAUACUAAAAAGAAAAUGAGUAAAGAUUCACUUAUGAAGUUGUACCACACCAUUAAUUUCAAAUAAUGAAAGUAUAAAGAACUCAAAAGGAGCUUGUUAUAACUUUCAAGUGCCUGAGUCAAUAAAUAAAAAAUGAAAUAAAUUCCCUUAUACAUAUAUAUGUGAACUAUGUAAAAGAACAAUUAAUCCUAUAAAUAAUUCAAAGCCUUUAUGUUAUUUAAUUAUCAUUUUGUAAUUAAAUGUUACAUAUUGUUAUAUGUACACAGAAUAAGAAGUAAACAGGACAGGAAAUUCAUGAUCUUAUGGACCUUAUAUUCUAGUAGAGAGCAGUCCAAAAAGAUAUAAUUAAAUAAUAAUAACAAAUAAAUAAAAUAUUAUAAGAAAGUGAUUAAUGCCAUGCAAUACAUAAAGCAGAGUUAGAGGAAAACUGGUAUCAGUAAAAUUCAUUCUAUAUUCAGAGAAUCUCCUGAAAACAUGAGAAGAUAACAGAAGUCUUAUCUUUACUUUUUUCACAUGUUCAUCAUUUUGAAACAAUUUCCAAACCAUGUUUGUAGGAAGUGAACUUAGUUCAGUCUAGGGGAAAGAAGGAAUCUAACUUUGAAUAAUCAAGUACAUUAGCUAAAAUGAAACAUUAUUAAUAACUUUUCUCACAUUCCCUUCCUUUGCCAUUUUAGUUAUUCUUAAAAACUAAAUGAGGUAAGUUAAAUGACCCCAAAAUUCCAUAGCUGCAUUCAUAACAUAAUCCUUACAUGUUCAGGAAUAAGAGAACAAAUCUGAGUUGGAAUAUAGUUUAACUCUACAUAUUUUGAAAAUAUAUUUUGACUGGUCAGUAUGUAAAGACCCAUUGGCAGUUUUCAAAUACAGAUCAUGUGCCUAAGAACAAAUUGCCAGCUAAGAGGACCAUUUGAGGUUCUAAGAGGCAUUGUGAGGACAAGAAGUCUUACUUUCGAAAGGGUUGAGUCUAAAAAUGCUUCAAUCUUAACUGUAUUUCCUUGCUUAUUUAAAUGAUUACUUCGAAUUUUGUAUUCCAAAGAUCACAGGUAACUUAAUUGGGAUAAAAUGAUCCUAAAUAGCUCCUCUGCAAAAAAAUGACCCAAGGUUAGAGUAUCAAGAUGCUAAGACACAAGUGACAAACAUUGCCCAAUGCAGUAAGCAUAAUACCAAGAAAUCAAGAACUAGCUAAUCCUCCACCUCAAGAUAGCUCUAUCUACUGCAGAUGCCUCUCUCUUUUUUUUUUUUUUUUGUUUUUGUUUUUGUUUGUUUGUUUGUUUGGUAAACUUUAGCUUCUGAAUUUCUGGAUGAGAUCUUAUGUACUCUGGAUUUUUAAGCUUAUAUUUUAUAAUAAGCACCAGGAAUAGUAAUGUUAAGAGCCAUAUUGAUUUUGUUACUAACAACUGGUUUGAUGAUACAUGUGGCUUUGUUAUGAUGAUAUGUAUGGAGGUUGUUUGUGGGACAUUAUAUAAAUUGUGGGACAUUAUAUCAAUAAUGUUGCUUGGAAUUCUACUUGUUGCCUUUAAAUUGGUACCACGUACUCUCCAGCUAAGGACUGAGAUGUGUCUCCCACUCUGAACUAAUAAGAAAACAGAAACAGCCCUAACAAUAUACUCAGGAAAAGUUUCUUACCUUGUAGAAGUUUUCUUUUUAUUUGGGAAGAAAUCCUGUCCACAAAUAAACAGCUAUUUCAGGCAGUGAAAAAAAAAAUGUUUUGAGGGUAAAACGUAGCAAGAUCAUGGAGUGAAGAGGGUUACUGGUACUAUAUGACAUAGUGUGGUCAGGGACCCUUUUCUUAAGAGUUGACAUUGAGUAGAGACAUGAAUGAAGUCAGAAAAUAUGAGCCAGAAAAUUACUCAUCUUAGAGAUAAAAGCAACACAUAAAUACAUCAGAAGAAAAUAAAUGCACUUGUAAACUAUAUAUUUUUAUAUUUAGUUUUGUGGGCAAUAUAUCUUCAAAUGUCUAUUGGAAAAAGAGAGUAGUUCAGUGACAAGAAAAAGGGGUGGACCAAAUUCAAAAUUUUUAGUGUGAAUCUGAUUAUUAAAAUAAUAAAACGGCCAACAGAAGAGGAUAGAACAUUUUUCUAAUUGGAAGUGUGAUUAUCAUCCAUAGUAUUAGGAUGAGAAGACUGAUAAGGCACUAAUUAUGCAGAAGAUGAAAAUGCACAGUCCACAACUGAUUUGCUAGAAAUUAAAACAAGCAAAGAAUGAAAUUUUGUUUGUAAUUAGGAUUGCUCAAUGAGAGACAGUUAGUAAUUAAUUUUUUGUGUUGGAUUGAGUUUUUAUUAGCUAUCUGUCAGUUAGUCUAAGUAAUGGCAGAACAUUUUGUCAGGAGGAACAAAAUACUUUUUUUCCUGAUCCAGAAAGUAAGACACAUCUUUCUACUGAGUAAUUGACUUGAUAAUGCUCAUAUAUUAAUUCAAUAAGUGCAAGUAUAGACUGGGAAUAUGACAGUGACUCAAAAAAAAAUCCUUAACUAUGUAAAUUUGCAUUAUAGAGGAUAAAUUAAUGCAUUGUCAGACAGUUAUAAAGAUCACUGAGUUCUGGCAAUAAAUUGAACUUUAUGUUUUGGAGUGCUUCAUUUUUUGUCACUAGCUGAUCAGUCAGAUUGCUAUUGAAAGCAACUGGCAAUAAACUGUAGUUUUCUAUAUUUUAGUACUAUUUUGUAUAACCAGAUAAUAACUUGAUAAAUUUUAAUGUUUCAUAAAUAUUACACACUCCUCCGUUUUGAUUUCCUUAUGUUUGCUUCUAUUUCCUAUUUGUGUGUGGUUUAGUGUGUGUAUGCAAAAUGACAUAAACUGUGUGACAUCAAUAAUUAAGUAUGAGAUAGUUUGCAUGUAACCUCAAAAGAAUAUAAAUAAAAGUAGAAUCAUAACUUGAAAUGUAAUGAGUACCUUUGCCAAGUGAAACAAAUGAGACAUGGUUUUGUGUUCAUGCAAACUUACUGCUUAGUAUUUUGAUAUAGAUUUCAAAAAGUCCCACAUGCUCAAAAACAGCUCUCCCAGUCUUGAGAUUGCACCACUGGGGAUUGCUUUGAACAUCUGAAAUCUUUUCUGUCAUUAUUAGUCUUCUUGCAUAAAGUAAAUACUCCAGGCAAGGUGAAAUCCUGGAUUUUUCAUCUCAGUUAAAGAUUUAGCAACUUAUCUCAGAAUAACUUACUAGAUAAUGGUCUUGUGAGAAUGAAAUGAGCUGAAGGAUAAUCAUCUAGGCUAGAGAAGGCUUCUGGGAGAUUAAAAUUUUUUUCCGAUUGUCUGUUUUACAUAGGGUUGUCCCUGCAUGUCCCAUUAAUUUUGUUUUAAUAGAGCUGUGACUUCUCCAUGCCUUCUCACAGCUGCAGAAAUUCACAUUUACUUCCAGUGGUUCUACAUAAUCUAAUCUGGUAACAGCAUUUCAGAGAUUGGGAUAUAGACUCCCAAGAAUGAAUGUGUGAAUUUUCUAAAAAGCAAGGAUAUUGAGACCCUGAAUUUAGAUGUAUUGAAGGAGGAUUCACUUGAGUCCAGAGUUUUUAGUCACAUUUCAUGUCACAAACUUAUGGAUUUUUAAAAAUAAUUAUAUAUGCUAUUUAUUAUGCCUAAUUCUUUAAAAGAAACCUUGCUUAUAUGAACACUGGGAACAUAUUAACUUGUGUAUUAGAGACAUUAUCUUUAAUGAGAUUUGGUAAAAAUAAAGGACACGGGUAUGAAUUGUCUCACGUAUUCUUAAAAUGUUUGAAUACUCAAUAAUACUUCUGUUUUGGGCCGUUCAUCUGACAAUUGUAUUAGGCUCAAAAAAGUACUUAGCCUCACUGACAUGUGCUAUAUGUCUUUUUUAAAAUGGAUUAAAAUGUUUAAAAUUAGCACUUUUAUUAUUAAUGGCAGCAUUAAUAAUGGCAGUGCAGUGAUUUAUAGUAAAAUGUUCAAAGUAAAUCUGAAAUAUAUAAAUUUUUAAGAAUUUUUUCUUUUUUCAGCAAAUGUAUAUUUUGAAAUAUAUAUAUUGAAAUAUAUUUAGACUGACAAUAAGUUCAAGUGGGUUUUGUUGGAAGAUACAGUAAUUAUAUUGGCUAUCUAACAUGGCGGCUCUAUGAUGGAAGUCAGGAAGGGAAAUGAAAUAUUUUCUUUGACUGGAAACAGAAUAAAGUUCUCCCAAGUCAAGUACAGAAUUGGACAUUUUGGUCAAGAUUAGAAAAUAAAACUUUUGAAACAUUGAAAAAAUUACCUUUAGGUAUUAAAAAGUCAAAGCAUAUAAUGAACCAUCAAUUUUAUCUGUAAAAGCCACACUAGACUACCUCUACCUUAACACUACAAUUAAAAGAAUCUACUUCUUGACAUUUUAAAGAAAACAUAAUUUCAUUUUGUGGUGAAAUCUAUUACAAGGUGGAAAUUAGAUUGUACAACCAAAAAAAGAAACACUGAUUAAUAUGUGUAUUUAACUAGAUCUCUGGAAGCCUAGUGCCUUAGAAUUCGCUGAAGAUGAAAAAUUGCCAUACAAAGUAGUGUAAAUCUUGAGAAAAAUGCAUGUUUUCUUAACCAUAAAAUGCUAGAUAGCAUUACUUUGAACGGUUGUGGGUUCGAACCCUGGCCUCGCUCAGUGGGUUAAGGAUCCAGCAUUGCCUUUAUAUCACAGAUGCGGCUCAGAUCUGGCGUUGUUGCGACUGUGGUGUAGGCCAGCAGCUGGAGCGCCGAUUAGACCCUUAGCCUGGGAACCUCCAUGUGCCAUGAGUGCAG
rnacentral:lncRNA from 1 species